rnacentral:misc_RNA from 1 species
AAAGCUUCUUCAUUUUCUUCAAUCAAGUAUCCAAAGCACUUCUUCGAGUUCUCCAAAAAUGGCUCAGAUGAAAGUUGUAAUGAAGGUGCUAACCAUGUCUGAUGAAAAAACAAAGCAGAAAGCCAUAGAAGCUGCAGCUGAUAUUUUAGGUGUAGAUUCAAUAGCAGCAGAUCUAAAGGAGCAAAAAUUGACAGUUAUAGGGGAAAUGGAUGCAGUUGCAGUGGUGAAGAAAUUGAAAAAAGCUGUUGGUAAAGUAGAUAUAUUAUCAGUGGGACCAGCUAAGGAAGAGAAGA